GCCGGUGUGGUUCAGUGGAUAGAGCGUCAGCCUGUGGACUGAAGGGUCCCGGGUUCGAUUCCGGUCAAGGGCA
rnacentral:tRNA from 1 species